CCUACGGGUGGCAGCAGUGAGGAAUAUUGGUCAAUGGGCGCGAGCCUGAACCUGCCAAGUCGCGUGAAGGAUGACUGCCCUACGGGUUGUAAACUUCUUUUAUAAAGGAACAAAGUGAGGCACGUGUGCCUUUUUGUAUGUACUUUAUGAAUAAGGAUCGGCUAACUCCGUGCCAGCAGCCGCGGUAAUACGGAGGAUCCGAGCGUUAUCCGGAUUUAUUGGGUUUAAAGGGAGCGUAGAUGGGUUGUUAAGUCAGGUGUGAAAGUUCGCGGCUCAACCGUAAAAUUGCAAUUGAUACUGGGAGUCUUGAGUACAGGUGAGGUAGGCGGAAUGCGUGGUGUAGCGGUGAAAUGCUUAGAUAUCACGAAGAACUCCGAUUGCGAAGGCAGCUUACUGAACUGCAACUGACGUUGAUGCUCGAAGGUGUGGGUAUCGAACAGGAUUAGAUACCCGGGUAGUC
rnacentral:rRNA from 1 species